UGCAAGAAAAGAAAAAAUUUCCUAGAUUUUCAUAAACAUUUAUUUUUUAGCAUUUUUCUGCUUCAGGUGUCUGGAUAUGACUGUAUCUCAUGUUUUUUUUCCAAUAAGCUGGGCUUUUCUGGUUUAGGAAAAUUCCCAUGCAUAAUUGCAUUAAAUGUGGGGGAUUUUUGGAUUUAUCCGAAUCAUUAUUUGUUGUAUUCUUUCUUAUUAUUAUUUUCAUCGAU
rnacentral:lncRNA from 1 species